rnacentral:lncRNA from 1 species
UAGGUAAACCAGUGAUUUUUAUGACUGAUUUUCACCACCCUGUUUACUUUAUUGAUGAAAACAACGAAAACAACGACAUAUUGAUAGUGCAUCCGACUAUGCAAGCAAGUAUAGGUAUGCAUUUCCAUCUCAAUGUAGUUGAAAAGUGAACAAUAGUACACAAUAAAUGAUAAGAAUAUGCAGAAACUGUUUUCAAAACAUUACUGUAAUAUCAUAUGUUUUUCACAAAUCAUACUCUCUAGUCUAACAUUUAAGAACCCAAUUGUUCAAAAUAUUAAAUACAUUCACGACAACACUGAGGUAUGACCCCAUCAUUCGAUACAUUAGAUGUCUUACACUUAUUAGUUUACCUUAGGGGACCACAAAGAACAAUUCGUUUUAAUAACACAUUUUCCUGCCGGACCUGUAACUUUAUAAAACUUUUUAAGCAGAUUAAUAUUAAAGGUUUGUUGCUAAUGACAUAAAACUGCCAAGAAUCAGUAUCAAUAAGUAACAAUAUAAAAAAGAAGAUGUGGUAUGAUUGUCAAUGAGACAACUAUCCACAAACUACCAAAAUGACACAGACAUUACCAACUAUAGGUCAUCGUACGGUCUUCAACAAUGAGCAAAGCCCAUACCGCAUAGUCAGCUAUAAAAGGCCCCGAUAAGACAAUGUAAAACAAUUCAAACAAGAAAACUAACGGCCUUAUUUAUGUAAAAAAAAAUGAACGAAAAACAAAUAUGUAACACAUAAACAGACGACAACCACUGAAUUACAUGCUCCUGACUUGGCACAGGCACAUACAUAAAUAAUGUGGCGGGGUUAAACACGUUAGCGGGAUCCCAAUCCUCCUCUUAACCUGGGACAGUGGUAUAACAGUACAACAUAAGAACGAACGAACUAUAAAAAUCAGUUGAAAAAGGCUUUACUCAUCAACAUUACAUGUGUACUAGGCAUAAGUUCACUGUGACGUUUAUCUUAGGCAUUUUUGGAACCGAAACCAUAUUUCAUUAGUGGCAGGUUUUUGUAGUAGUAUGUCCUUAGAACCCAACAAAAGUCAUGUUAAGUGUAAAUUACCCGAUUUUAUCUUAUUCCUUAUUUUUGGUUUUUAAAAAUGAACUCGUAUAGCUGGAGUCACUUACCUAAUGCGUCUAUGUGAUCCCCUUCAAGUCUUUUGAAUUGAUAAUAAUAUCCCAUUAAAUUACAAUUAUAUAAUUGUAUAAGAUCAUUGCUUUUAUCAGUUUGUGUCAGAUUGCAGUCAAUUUUCUCGCUUCAAAUAUUCUGGAAGGGUAUAGUGUAUAAAAGAUGAAAAGGUUAACCAGCACACACUGUUAUACGUUUUGAAGUCCAUAUGUAACAUGCUAAAUGAAUAUUAUAUUGUAGAAUGUGAUCAAUUCUAAUCCUUUUUUGUUAGGCUCGUAUAGACACCCUGGAUACAAGAACACAAUUGACGAUUUUAUGAAAGUUACACGGAGCAACCGAUUUGCAGAUAUAAUUGAUAUUUUGAUAAGGAUUAAUUCACUGUAUGAUUAUCCUGUUAUUACAUUCCAGUCAACAUUAAGGAAGAAAUUAAGCUUUUUAUAAUGCGACACCAUCGUUACAGAACGUUAAUGUACAGUUACAUAUACAUAUGUUUGGAAGCCGUUCAAGUGAAUUAAACGAUUUUGAAUAAAUGUGAACUUGAAGUACAUAAUGUAUAACUUUUGAUUAAAUACUGCAUUAUUCAUCUGUGUUUUAAAAUAUGUUUUUAAUCUAUGGUAAAAAGUAGAAUAACAAAAAUACCGAAAUCCGAGGAAAAUUUAAAACGAAAGUCGAAAAUCAAUUGGCUCUAUCAAAAACCAAAGCGCACCACAAUAAUGUUUAUAACUGUCCUAUAUCUAACUUGGUACAGGUAAAGGAUAAAUAAAGGUUACUCAUUCAUGAA